GAGGGUAUAGCUCAUGUGGUAGAGCGCUUGCUUAGCAUGCAUGAGGUCCUGGGUUCAAUCCCCAGUACCUCCU
rnacentral:tRNA from 1 species